AUAAUCGCCUGACGGGGAGACAUCCUCAUCAAGAAGGGUGAUUUCAGACGGUGAGGCUCAUCCCUAUCACUCCUGGUGUGCUGACCCUUUUCCUCAGAUCCAGGAAACUUGGCUGUAAAAUUUGUGGAUUGGAGGAUGGUGUUUGCACUUUCUUCUG
rnacentral:snRNA from 1 species